GCCGGCUUAGCUCAGCUGGUAGAGCAACCGCCUUGUAAGCGGUAGGUCCCCCGUUCGAGUCGGGGAGUCGGCACCA
rnacentral:tRNA from 1 species